CGAGCGAACAGAUGAGAAGCUUGCUUCUCUGAUGUUAGCGGCGGACGGGUGAGUAACACGUGGGUAACCUACCUAUAAGACUGGGAUAACUCCGGGAAACCGGGGCUAAUACCGGAUAAUAUUUUGAACCGCAGGGUUCGAUAGUGAAAGACGGUUUCGGCUGUCACUUAUAGAUGGACCCGCGCCGUAUUAGCUAGUUGGUAAGGUAACGGCUUACCAAGGCGACGAUACGUAGCCGACCUGAGAGGGUGAUCGGCCACACUGGAACUGAGACACGGUCCAGACUCCUACGGGAGGCAGCAGUAGGGAAUCUUCCGCAAUGGGCGAAAGCCUGACGGAGCAACGCCGCGUGAGUGAUGAAGGUCUUCGGAUCGUAAAACUCUGUUGUUAGGGAAGAACAAAUUUGUUAGUAACUGAACAAGUCUUGACGGUACCUAACCAGAAAGCCACGGCUAACUACGUGCCAGCAGCCGCGGUAAUACGUAGGUGGCAAGCGUUAUCCGGAAUUAUUGGGCGUAAAGCGCGCGUAGGCGGUUUCUUAAGUCUGAUGUGAAAGCCCACGGCUCAACCGUGGAGGGUCAUUGGAAACUGGGAAACUUGAGUGCAGAAGAGGAGAGUGGAAUUCCAUGUGUAGCGGUGAAAUGCGCAGAGAUAUGGAGGAACACCAGUGGCGAAGGCGGCUCUCUGGUCUGUAACUGACGCUGAUGUGCGAAAGCGUGGGGAUCAAACAGGAUUAGAUACCCUGGUAGUCCACGCCGUAAACGAUGAGUGCUAAGUGUUAGGGGGUUUCCGCCCCUUAGUGCUGCAGCUAACGCAUUAAGCACUCCGCCUGGGGAGUACGACCGCAAGGUUGAAACUCAAGGAAUUGACGGGG
rnacentral:rRNA from 1 species